GCCACUGCUUUCUCUCUCUUCCUUCUUGCUAUUAAACCCGUGUGUGUCAUUCAGUUACUUCAUCAUCGUCCUCAGUGCUCUCUCUCUCUCUCUAACUUCUUCCAACCCACCAUAGUCUUCUCCUUCUCCUCCCUCUUCAUCUACCUUUUCCAAGAAAAUCACUCUCUCUCUCUGCAAUACCUUUCAGACCACUUCUCUUUCUCUAAAGAAUAAAGAUUGAGGAUGGAGGGGGAGCGAGGGAGGAGAGAAGAGAGCGAGAGGAGAGAAGAGAGAGGGAGGAAACCGAAGAAGGAUCCGAGGCCUGAAAUGAUUUUUUGGGUCGUUAUUGUAAUGCUGAUCAUUUCCAUGACGAAGGACAUGAUGCCCGAUUUCCUGAAGGCGGUAGCCGAGAUCGUCAUCGUGCUGCUUUCCCUGGUCUUACUCUCUCUUCGUUAAGCAUUCAUCUCUCUCGAGCUCUUGAUAGUUACUUUCUCUCUCUUCUUCAAGCAUUCAUCUCUCUCUCUUGAUAGUUUCUUUUUCUCUCUUCUUUAAGCAUUCAUCUCUCUCUUUCGGAGGCGAAUAUUCAUGUAAGGCCUUUAUAUCAGUAUUCUAAUGAGGUCUAUAGAUUUGUGCGGAUAUUUUCUGGACGUUACUGUCUCUUACACGCAUCUUUUUCCAGUAGGAGUUCAAAAGUUUCUGGCAUGCGUGUUCUUCCUCUCUCUCACAUGCAUCACUUUCCAGCAUGAGUUCAUCAGUUUCCGGCAUCAGUGUUCUUUCUCUCUCUCUCUUACCUCGUCGUUUUGUUGUUUGUGAUUGGUGUUUUGAAUAUCAGAAGAGAAUAAGGUGUAUGUUGUAAUUUGUAAGGUUCGAUCUAUGGAAUACACAUAAAUUUGCCCA
rnacentral:lncRNA from 1 species